UUGUGGAGGAGGACGCCGAAGGUGGGGCUAAUGACUGGGGUGAAGUCGUAACAAGGUAGCCGUACCGGAAGGUGCGGCUGGAUCACCUCCUAACAGGGAGACAACAAAAUGUUUAAUAUUAUUAUUUUGUCACCUUAGGUCGAUCGGUAUCUCACGUUUUUAAUUUAUUAAAAAUUUCAUUUCCUAAGUUUUUCUAGGUCACACCCAUUAUUUUUCCUGGGCCAUUAGCUCAGGUGGUUAGAGCGCACCCCUGAUAAGGGUGAGGUCCCUGGUUCAAGUCCAGGAUGGCCCAUAUCUCUAUGUUGGGGGUAUAGCUCAGUUGGUAGAGCGCCUGCUUUGCAAGCAGGAUGUCAGCGGUUCGAGUCCGCUUACCUCCACUGAUUACCACCUCUUCCAUAUUUGUAUAAAGGAAAUGUUUUGAGUUGUGAUCAAAUUCUGAACGAAUCUAGCUUCCUAAUGAAAGUAUUAAGAUGCUGGACUCAUUGAAUUAAUUUCUUUGUUUUCAGAGAACCUUGACAACUGCAUAGAUUAUUUUCAAAGACAAUUAAGCAUCUUUUAUGAUGCAGAUUUAUUAUUUGUGCGAAUGCAUUAAUAACAAUUCUAUUAAGCUGAUGCUUCAAUUUUGAAGUUAUUGGUCAAGCUACAA
rnacentral:misc_RNA from 1 species